AAAGAGAGUGAAAAAAAAAACACUUUAUCCUUUAGCAGAGUGACCGAUCGUAGCGCGUCAUUCGCUGUCCACUUCGUUUCAAUCUCCCAAUUUUUUUUUUGUUCAUUUGUUCUAUAGAUCUAGAUCUAUUGGUUUACAAAAGGCUCAUAAUAAUAUCAUUAAUUGGACCCUACGUCUUAUGAAAGUGAUAGGGGACAGGUUUCUUUCUUUUAAAAAGUGCAGAAACUUGUUUGUGUGUAAAUAAGAAAUAAAACUUGCAGGUGUACAGUAUAAUUAAUUACUGCCAUCUUAUUUCUUUUUCUUAUUCUGCAUGUGGAGGAGGCAUUGGAUAUGAUACCUAUGGAAUAAUAAUAUAAUCUUAUAAGAUUUCAUUAGAAUUACUCAACAUCAGUUUUUCUGUGCCGUGUUUUCACCAUUUGAAUUUUCUAAUGAUAUAUAAACGAUUGGAAAUAUCGGAGAUGCGUGUUGGUAAGAAGGUAAUACAGUGAUGACUUCAACUACGACAUAGAUUUUGAAAAUAUUUAGAAAGCAGCCCAGAAUUAACAUAUUAAACUCUACAGAAGAAGGAUUCUGUUGACACAGUGAACGUUACAGACAAGGAAAUAAAUAAGCUCUGCAGACUCGGCACUAUUUCAUGCUAUUGUCUUCCUGGAUGCGCUGUGAUUCUAUCACUUCUCUAGACCAGGAAAAAGGAGGCGAGGAUAAGAAAGAAAGGGAUAUCUUGAUUUUUUUUAUGGUUUAACAGACACGUGAUCAUCAAACAUCUAAGCCACUAAUAAGCUCAAGUAGGCUUCAAUAGAACCAAGCCUCCAUCAAGCCUCUUUCAGCCAAUCAAUCAGGGGCUGCACAGAAGUCAAAGUACUCUGACAUUGGUCUCGACAUUAUUCGACAACUGUGUAAAAAAAAAAAACGCCGUGUUGCAAAGUCACGUGACGAGGGUCUAAAUCUAGUCAGCACGUGCCCCAGCACGUUAAAAAAAAUUGAAAUAUAGUUUCAGGUCUGGGUAGCCAUUACGGAGAAUAAUUGUGAUGCUAGAGACACACUUGGUAUCUAACAUAAUUCAUUAAGGAUUUUAACUCUCGGUACUGGUGAUACAACAAUAUAUCCAGACGUCAUGUUUUUGUUUGCCUAGAGCAUGAAAUUCUAAGCUUCAGAUUUCCUUUAACCGGAAGUAUACACCAAAUUUCUAUAUUUUUUCUUUUACGACCUUCAUGUACACGACCCAAUGCCAACACAUGAGUCUACAAGCGUGCAUUCGUCUGGUCAAGUCUCAGGGAUCUAAGAAGCAAAACCUUCUCGUGACGCCUCAGAUUACUCCGCUUUAAAACUACGGAAGUUGGACGGGACUACUUUUAGCGCCGCAUCCCUAAUUUGAAAUCCUUCUUCAAGUCUUUUGAGCUUGCGCAGCAUUGUAAACUCCAGAGAAAAGAUUUCCUUUACAGAAUUAUUUAUUACAGAUAAAAGAAGAAUUUAAUAAAUAUUUAUAAAUCAUU
rnacentral:sRNA from 13 species